UUUUUUUAAAAUCUUAAUAUCUGAUUUUUUGACCAAUUAAUUCAAACUAGAAUUACACAUAAAAAAGUUAUAACCUAUAAAGUAGUAUUUAUUCCUUACUCUCUAGUAAUAAAUAUAACACUUGGUAAUUCAACUAGCAUAGGUACAAACACACAUCUUUGUACCAUUAAAAUAAUCAAAACAAACUCCAAUAUGAUCUCU
rnacentral:lncRNA from 1 species